rnacentral:rRNA from 1 species
GACGAACGCUGGCGGCGUGCUUAACACAUGCAAGUCGAACGGAAAGGCCCUGCUUUUGUGGGGUGCUCGAGUGGCGAACGGGUGAGUAACACGUGAGUAACCUGCCCUUGACUUUGGGAUAACUUCAGGAAACUGGGGCUAAUACCGGAUAGGAGCUCCUGCUGCAUGGUGGGGGUUGGAAAGUUUCGGCGGUUGGGGAUGGACUCGCGGCUUAUCAGCUUGUUGGUGGGGUAGUGGCUUACCAAGGCUUUGACGGGUAGCCGGCCUGAGAGGGUGACCGGCCACAUUGGGACUGAGAUACGGCCCAGACUCCUACGGGAGGCAGCAGUGGGGAAUAUUGCACAAUGGGUGGAAGCCUGAUGCAGCAACGCCGCGUGCGGGAUGACGGCCUUCGGGUUGUAAACUGCUUUCGCCUGUGACGAAGCGUGAGUGACGGUAAUGGGUAAAGAAGCACCGGCUAACUACGUG